GGGGGCUAUACAUGCAGUCGAGCGGACAGAAGGGAGCUUGCUCCCUGAUGUUAGCGGCGGACGGGUGAGUAACACGUGGGUAACCUGCCUGUAAGACUGGGAUAACUCCGGGAAACCGGAGCUAAUACCGGAUAGUUCCUUGAACCGCAUGGUUCAAGGAUGAAAGACGGUUUCGGCUGUCACUUACAGAUGGACCCGCGGCGCAUUAGCUAGUUGGUGGGGUAAUGGCUCACCAAGGCGACGAUGCGUAGCCGACCUGAGAGGGUGAUCGGCCACACUGGGACUGAGACACGGCCCAGACUCCUACGGGAGGCAGCAGUAGGGAAUCUUCCGCAAUGGACGAAAGUCUGACGGAGCAACGCCGCGUGAGUGAUGAAGGUUUUCGGAUCGUAAAGCUCUGUUGUUAGGGAAGAACAAGUGCGAGAGUAACUGCUCGCACCUUGACGGUACCUAACCAGAAAGCCACGGCUAACUACGUGCCAGCAGCCGCGGUAAUACGUAGGUGGCAAGCGUUGUCCGGAAUUAUUGGGCGUAAAGGGCUCGCAGGCGGUUUCUUAAGUCUGAUGUGAAAGCCCCCGGCUCAACCGGGGAGGGUCAUUGGAAACUGGGAAACUUGAGUGCAGAAGAGGAGAGUGGAAUUCCACGUGUAGCGGUGAAAUGCGUAGAGAUGUGGAGGAACACCAGUGGCGAAGGCGACUCUCUGGUCUGUAACUGACGCUGAGGAGCGAAAGCGUGGGGAGCGAACAGGAUUAGAUACCCUGGUAGUCCACGCCGUAAACGAUGAGUGCUAAGUGUUAGGGGGUUUCCGCCCCUUAGUGCUGCAGCUAACGCAUUAAGCACUCCGCCUGGGGAGUACGGUCGCAAGACUGAAACUCAAAGGAAUUGACGGGGGCCCGCACAAGCGGUGGAGCAUGUGGUUUAAUUCGAAGCAACGCGAAGAACCUUACCAGGUCUUGACAUCCUCUGACAACCCUAGAGAUAGGGCUUUCCCUUCGGGGACAGAGUGACAGGUGGUGCAUGGUUGUCGUCAGCUCGUGUCGUGAGAUGUUGGGUUAAGUCCCGCAACGAGCGCAACCCUUGAUCUUAGUUGCCAGCAUUCAGUUGGGCACUCUAAGGUGACUGCCGGUGACAACCGGAGGAAAGGUGGGGAUGACGUCAAUCAUCAUGCCCCUUAUGACCGGGGCUACCACGUGCUACAUGGACAAAACAAGGGCUGCAGAACCCCAAGGUUACCAAUCCCAAAAUCUUUCCCAUUUGGAUCCAAUUUGCAACCCACGGCGGAAACUGGAACCCUUUAAUCCGGAAAACCAUGCCCGGUA
rnacentral:rRNA from 1 species